UACGUAGGGUGCAAGCGUUGUCCGGAAUUAUUGGGCGUAAAGAGCUCGUAGGCGGUUUGUCGCGUCUGCUGUGAAAACUCAGGGCUUAACCCUGAGCUUGCAGUGGGUACGGCAGACUAGAGUGCGGUAGGGGAGACUGGAAUUCCUGGUGUAGCGGUGAAAUGCGCAGAUAUCAGGAGGAACACCGGUGGCGAAGGCGGGUCUCUGGGCCGUAACUGACGCU
rnacentral:rRNA from 1 species